rnacentral:rRNA from 1 species
AAUAGAUACCCAGUAGUCCACACCGUAAACGUUGGGCGCUAGGUGUGGGAUUCAUUCCACGAGUUCCGUGCCGCAGCUAACGCAUUAAGCGCCCCGCCUGGGGAGUACGGCCGCAAGGCUAAAACUCAAAGGAAUUGACGGGGGGCCCGCACAAGCGGCGGAGCAUGCGGAUUAAUUCGAUGCAACGCGAAGAACCUUACCUAGGUUUGACAUAUACGAGAAGCCUCUAGAGAUAGAGGUCUCUUUGGACACUUGUAUACAGGUGGUGCAUGGCUGUCGUCAGCUCGUGUCGUGAGAUGUUGGGUUAAGUCCCGCAACGAGCGCAACCCUCGUCUUAUGUUGCCAGCACGUAAUGGUGGGGACUCAUAAGAGACUGCCGGGGUCAACUCGGAGGAAGGUGGGGAUGACGUCAAAUCAUCAUGCCCCCUAUGUCUUGGGCUUCACGCAUGCUACAAUGGCCGGUACAAGGGCUGCGAAACCGCAAGGUGAGCGAAUCCCGAAAAAGCCGGUCUCAGUUCGGAUUGAGGU